rnacentral:rRNA from 1 species
GGACUGCAGGCUGAAACUCGCCUGCACGAAGUUGGAAUUGCUAGUAAUCGCGGAUCAGCAUGCCGCGGUGAAUACGUUCCCGGGUCUUGUACACACCGCCCGUCACACCAUGGGAGCUGGUAACACCCGAAGUCAGUAGUCUAACCGCAAGGAGGACGCUGCCGAAGGUGGGAUCAGCGACUGGGGUGAAGUCGUAACAAGGUACC